AGCUCAGUACUUUCGCAAAAGACAUCACUGGUUUGGGGUCCCUGAUGUCCAUGGAAGAAGGUUGAAUUACUGUCUAAAUGUGGAUCUCCAGUGCAUGGACAUUUUCAGCAACCAGAUGAGUUGGUGUUGCGUCCUCGCAGAUGGCUCCUUCUCCACUCAGCAGUGUAACGAUGGCUCGUGAUAACACAGCCAGUCACAUCGACGUGUUGUACUCACCGGGAAGGCUGACAUUUACCACUCAGUGCUUCAUCACCUUCUCCACAACCUACAUACAUUAAAAGUUUAGAAUUUAGAUGGUUCACACUCUAGUUGUAUGAUGAACUUUACAUUAUGGCCUUCAUUAACACAUUGCCACACACUGCUACAAUGUAAUCACCUACUUAAAUACCUUUA